rnacentral:rRNA from 1 species
GAUGAACGCUGGCGGCGUGCUUAACACAUGCAAGUCGAACGAUGAUGCCCAGCUUGCUGGGUGUAUUAGUGGCGAACGGGUGAGUAACACGUGAGUAACCUGCCCUUUACUCUGGGAUAAGCCUGGGAAACUGGGUCUAAUACCGGAUACGACCAUCUGGCGCAUGUCAUGGUGGUGGAAAGCUUUUGUGGUUUUGGAUGGACUCGCGGCCUAUCAGCUUGUUGGUGGGGUAAUGGCCUACCAAGGCGACGACGGGUAGCCGGCCUGAGAGGGUGACCGGCCACGCUGGGACUGAGACACGGCCCAGACGCCUACGGGAGGCAGCAGUGGGGAAUAUUGCACAAUGGGCGCAAGCCUGAUGCAGCGACGCCGCGUGAGGGAUGACGGCCUUCGGGUUGUAAACCGCUUUCAGUAGGGAAGAAGCGAAAGUGACGGUACCUGCAGAAGAAGCGCCGGCUAACUACGUG